GAUGAACGCUGGCGGCGUGCCUAAUACAUGCAAGUCGAGCGAACAGAUGAGGAGCUUGCUCCUCUGACGUUAGCGGCGGACGGGUGAGUAACACGUGGAUAACCUACCUAUAAGACCGGGAUAACUUCGGGAAACCGGAGCUAAUACCGGAUAAUAUAUUGAACCGCAUGGUUCAAUAGUGAAAGACGGUUUUGCUGUCACUUAUAGAUGGAUCCGCGCCGCAUUAGCUAGUUGGUAAGGUAACGGCUUACCAAGGCAACGAUGCGUAGCCGACCUGAGAGGGUGAUCGGCCACACUGGAACUGAGACACGGUCCAGACUCCUACGGGAGGCAGCAGUAGGGAAUCUUCCGCAAUGGGCGAAAGCCUGACGGAGCAACGCCGCGUGAGUGAUGAAGGUCUUCGGAUCGUUAAACUCUGUUAUUAGGGAAGAACAAAUGUGUAAGUAACUAUGCACGUCUUGACGGUACCUAAUCAGAAAGCCACGGCUAACUACGUG
rnacentral:rRNA from 1 species